rnacentral:rRNA from 1 species
UACAGAGGGUGCAAGCGUUAAUCGGAAUUACUGGGCGUAAAGCGCGCGUAGGUGGUUUGUUAAGUUGGAUGUGAAAUCCCCGGGCUCAACCUGGGAACUGCAUUCAAAACUGACAAGCUAGAGUAUGGUAGAGGGUGGUGGAAUUUCCUGUGUAGCGGUGAAAUGCGUAGAUAUAGGAAGGAACACCAGUGGCGAAGGCGACCACCUGGACUGAUACUGACACUGAGGUGCGAAAGCGUGGGGAGCAAACCGG